rnacentral:rRNA from 1 species
AGAGUUUGAUCCUGGCUCAGGACGAACGCUGGCGGCGUGCUUAACACAUGCAAGUCGAACGGAAAGGCCCCUUCGGGGGUACUCGAGUGGCGAACGGGUGAGUAACACGUGGGCAAUCUGUCCUGCACUUCGGGAUAAGCCUGGGAAACUGGGUCUAAUACCGGAUAGGACCUUUAGGCGCAUGUCUUUAGGUGGAAAGCUUUUGCGGUGUGGGAUGGGCCCGCGGCCUAUCAGCUUGUUGGUGGGGUGAUGGCCUACCAAGGCGACGACGGGUAGCCGGCCUGAGAGGGUGUCCGGCCACACUGGGACUGAGAUACGGCCCAGACUCCUACGGGAGGCACCAGAAGGG